AAACCGCUGUUCCCAGGGACGAAGCACUGACGGUACCUGGGGAGGAAGGCCCGGCUAACUACGUGCCAGCAGCCGCGGUAAUACGUAGGGGCCGAGCGUUGUCCGGAGUUACUGGGCGUAAAGCGCGCGCAGGUGGCUCAUUACGCCCGGCGUGAAAGCCCCCGGCCUAACCGGGGAGGGUCGUCGGGGACGGGUGAGCUUGAGGGUAUCAGGGGCUGGUGGAAUUCCCGGUGUAGUGGUGAAAUGCGUAGAGAUCGGGAGGAACACCCGUGGCGAAGGCGGCCAGCUGGGAUACACCUGACACUGAGGCGCGAAGGCGUGGGGAGCGAACGGGAUUAGAUACCCCGGUAGUCCACGCAGUAAACGAUGCCGACUAGGCGUGGGGGGACUUGACCCCUUCCGUGCCGAAGCUAACGCACGAAGUCGGCCGCCUGGGGAGUACGGCCGCAAGGCUAAAACUCAAAGGAAUUGACGGGGGCCCGCACAAGCGGCGGAGCGUGUUCUUUAAUUCGUCGCAACGCGAAGAACCUUACCAGGGUUUGACAUGUCCCUGCAGGCCGGUGAAAGCCGGAGGCCUACGAGGGUGGGACACAGGUGCUGCAUGGCUGUCGUCAGCUCGU
rnacentral:rRNA from 1 species